GAGCUGGGGGUGGCCGCAGAGACCAGCGAGAAGCGACUGUUUACUAAAAACACAGGUCCGUGCGAAGCCGUAAGGCGAUGUAUACGGACUGACGCCUGCCCGGUGCUGGAACGUUAAGGGGACCGGUUAGCUGCUCUUCGGGGUGGCGAAGCUGAGAACUUAAGCGCCAGUAAACGGCGGUGGUAACUAUAACCAUCCUAAGGUAGCGAAAUUCCUUGUCGGGUAAGUUCCGACCUGCACGAAUGGCGUAACGACUUCUCGACUGUCUCAACCAUAGGCCCGGUGAAAUUGCACUACGAGUAAAGAUGCUCGUUUCGCGCAGCAGGACGGAAAGACCCCGGGACCUUUACUAUAGUUUGAUAUUGGUGUUCGGUUCGGCUUGUGUAGGAUAGGUGGGAGACUUUGAAGCGGCCACGCCAGUGGUUGUGGAGUCGUCGUUGAAAUACCACUCUGGUCGUGCUGGAUGUCUAACCUGGGUCCGUGAUCCGGAUCAGGGACAGUGUCUGAUGGGUAGUUUAACUGGGGCGGUUGCCUCCUAAAGAGUAACGGAGGCGCCCAAAGGUUCCCUCAGCCUGGUUGGCAAUCAGGUGUUGAGUGUAAGUGCACAAGGGAGCUUGACUGUGAGACCGACGGGUCGAGCAGGGACGAAAGUCGGGACUAGUGAUCCGGCAGUGGCUUGUGGAAGCGCUGUCGCUCAACGGAUAAAAGGUACCCCGGGGAUAACAGGCUGAUCUUCCCCAAGAGUCCAUAUCGACGGGAUGGUUUGGCACCUCGAUGUCGGCUCGUCGCAUCCUGGGGCUGGAGUCGGUCCCAAGGGUUGGGCUGUUCGCCCAUUAAAGCGGUACGCGAGCUGGGUUUAGAACGUCGUGAGACAGUUCGGUCCCUAUCCGCUGUGCGCGUAGGAAUAUUGAGAAGGGCUGUCCCUAGUACGAGAGGACCGGGACGGACGAACCUCUGGUGUGCCAGUUGUUCUGCCAAGGGCAUGGCUGGUUGGCUACGUUCGGAAAGGAUAACCGCUGAAAGCAUCUAAGCGGGAAGCCUGCUUCGAGAUGAGUAUUCCCACCAACUUGAUUGGUUAAGGCUCCCAGUAGACGACUGGGUUGAUAGGCCAGAUGUGGAAGCCCGGUAACGGGUGGAGCUGACUGGUACUAAUAGGCCGAGGGCUUGUCCUCAGUUGCUCGCGUCCACUGUGUU
rnacentral:rRNA from 1 species